AUGUGUCAUAAAGGACUGGAACUGGAGCCAUUAGAGGCUAAAAAAAGACUUUUCGAUAUGACACUGACACUUGUUCAUGUAAUUUCCCAAGCUGGUGAAGCUCUUGAUUCUUACAUUCGGGCUCAUCCCAAGCUGGCCGCGUCAUUCUAUCAGGACCGGGCUCUAACAUGGAAGGUGCCCUAUAUAAUACCAGUGUCCCAUGUGGAGGUCCUUGAACGUGUCUCGUUGAUAUUGAAGGAUUAUGGUCUUUGUUCUGGAGAAGGCAUAGAUAUUGGAAAUCUCCGCCUCUAUGAGAACGUGGUGUCCACUGAAGAGCUGCCUCACAAACUUGGUAUGUGA
rnacentral:rRNA from 1 species